rnacentral:rRNA from 1 species
GACGAACGCUGGCGGCGUGCUUAACACAUGCAAGUCGAACGGAAAGGCCCUGCUUUUGUGGGGUGCUCGAGUGGCGAACGGGUGAGUAACACGUGAGUAACCUGCCCUUGACUUUGGGAUAACUUCAGGAAACUGGGGCUAAUACCGGAUAGGAGCUCCUGCUGCAUGGUGGGGGUUGGAAAGUUUCGGCGGUUGGGGAUGGACUCGCGGCUUAUCAGCUUGUUGGUGGGGUAGUGGCUUACCAAGGCUUUGACGGGUAGCCGGCCUGAGAGGGUGACCGGCCACAUGGGGACUGAGAUACGGCCAAGACGCCUACGGGAGGCAGCAGUGGGGAAUAUUGCACAAUGGGCGGAGGCCGGAUGCAGCAACGCCGCGUGCGGGAUGACGGCCUUCGGGUUGUAAACCGCUUUCGCCUGUGACGAAGCGUGAGUGACGGAAAUGGGUAAAGAAGCACCGGCGAAUUACGU